UACGGAGGGUGCAAGCGUUAAUCGGAAUUACUGGGCGUAAAGGAGCUCGUAGGCGGCUUGUCGCGUCGACUGUGAAAGCCCACGGCUCAACCGCGGGUCUGCAGUCGAUACGGGCAGGCUAGAGUUCGGUAGGGGAGACUGGAAUUCCUGGUGUAGCGGUGAAAUGCGCAGAUAUCAGGAGGAACACCGGUGGCGAAGGCGGGUCUCUGGGCCGAUACUGACGCUGAGGAGCGAAAGCGUGGGGAGCGAACAGG
rnacentral:rRNA from 1 species